rnacentral:rRNA from 1 species
GUGUCAGCAGCCGCGGUAAUACGGAGGGUGCAAGCGUUAUCCGGAUUCACUGGGUUUAAAGGGUGCGUAGGUGGGUCUGUAAGUCAGUGGUGAAAUCCCCGAGCUUAACUUGGGAACUGCCGUUGAUACUAUAGAUCUUGAAUAUCGUGGAGGUAAGCGGAAUAUGUCAUGUAGCGGUGAAAUGCUUAGAUAUGACAUAGAACACCAAUUGCGAAGGCAGCUUACUACACGAUCAUUGACACUGAGGCACGAAAGCGUGGGGAGCAAACAGGAUUAGAUACCCUCGUAGUCC